rnacentral:lncRNA from 1 species
UUAGAUUCUCAUCCACAUACAAGAGGGAAAAUAGACAAAGUCACAAAAAUCUAGACAAUGAGUUGGUUGCCCAUCAACUGGGAAAUGCCUAAACAAAUUGGAGUCUUGGAAUGUAAUGAAAAACUAUUAUGUUUUGAGUAAUGAUAGGAGGAAUUCAGAGAAAUGUUGAAAGAUAGUUAAGAAGUACUGCAGAAUGAAAAACCAAGAGAAAAAUAUUUUAUUGCUAGAAUACUAUAAAUGAAAAUGACCUGAAAAAAUCUCAAGCACAGAUAAUGAAAUUAUUUUCUCUUGGCAGUGAGGCAAGGGACUGUCAGUUCUUAAGGGCCAACAUUUGUUUGUAGAUUUUCUUCUUUUUCUGUUAUAAGAAAAGGUAUAAUGAAAGAGAACAGAGAAAUAACUGGUGCAAAAAUAACAGUAAUAACAUUUAUAUAGCAUUUUACAAAUACUUCAUUUUAUCCUCACAACCCUGGAAGGUAGAUGCUAUUAUGAUCUCCAUUUUACAGGGAGGAAACUGAGACAGGCAGUGAUUUGUCCAAAGUCCCACAGCUUGUAAAUCUCUGAGGCAGAUCUUCCUGCCUACAAGUGCAAUGCUUUGUUCUACUUUGCCAUCACCCUGCUCAUAAAACAAAAGGCAUCACUGAAAGACCUUUUCUGCUCCUCCUUGCCCCACUUCCCUCACACAACAGUUAUAUUCUCUCUUUCCCACUUCUUCACAACCUUUUGUUUCUGUACUUUGUGUUUAUCUAUUUGUGCGCACGUCUCUAGGAGAGUGGAAACUCCCUGAAGUCAAGAGUCAUUUCUAUUUUUGUAACUUCCCAGGGCUUACUUAGCACACUGUUUUUGCACAUAGAGAUGUUUAAUGAUUGUUGAAUUGAAAGGAAAUUUUUUUUAAAAUAUAGAAACAAAUUGCAGGCAUUGAAAUUUCCUUAAAAGAAAGGACUUGUACAGUUCCUUCCAACUGUAAAUUUAUGAACCUUAUGACCAGACUAAGUACAGGGGUGUAAGUGCUUCCUGGCAUUCUGAGUUUGAGCACUCACUGACCUGAAUUCCUAUAACCAGUUCAUGUGUUUUCUAGCUUUGGUGAUCUAUUGUUUUCAUUGUCAUUGUCGUUGUCGUUGUCAUUUAAACUCCCCGUGUGGAAAUCCUCUUUACCAGAUGCAGGUGGUAACAAUUUACAUCUGUUUUCAAGAGAUUAUGUUGGAGCUACAAGAACAAGGAAAAAAAUGCUUUUAACAAGUAUAGAGUUUAUAACCAAUUCAUAACAAGACAAAGGAUAGAGAGGAUCAAUCACAGAAGACAGUGGAAAGAUUUGAUUCUAUGAAAUCGUUUUUACACAAACACUUCAAUUCAGUUGAAAUUAGAGGGAAAAAAAUUAAUUGGAAAAAAGCUUUGCGGCAAACUUCCUGGAUAAAGAUUUAAUUUAAUUUGUAGAUGCAUACCUAUCUAUGUAUAGAGCUGGUGUAUUGAUUGAAAUAAAAAUUGCAAGUAUUUCCCAAUAAACAAAUGGUCAAAAGCUAUAAACAGAUAAUUCUCAAAAGACAACCUAUAAACUAUCAGCAGCUCUAUCAAAAAAAUACUUCAAAUCACUAAUUAGAAAAAUUACAAAUUAAGCUUUUAGAUUGUGCCUCACACCUAUCAGACUAACAAAGAUGACA